CCUACGGGUGGCAGCAGGGAGGAAUAGUGGGCAAUGGACGAGAGUCUGAACCAGCCAAGUAGCGUGAAGGAGGAAGGCCCAAGGGGUGGUAAACUUCGGUUAUAGGGGAAUAAAAUGUUACACGUGUGGGAUUUUGUAUGUACCAUAUGAAUAAGGAUCGGCUAACGCCGUGCCAGCAGCCGCGGUAAUACGGAGGAUCCGAGCGUUAUCCGGAUUUAUUGGGUUUAAAGGGAGCGUAGGUGGGUUGUUAAGUCAGUUGUGAAAGUUUGCGGCUCAACCGUAAAAUUGCCGUUGAAACUGGCAGUCUUGAGUGCAGUAGAGGUGGGCGGAAUGCGUGGUGUAGCGGUGCACUGCUUAGCUCUCCCGAAGAACUCCGAUUGCGAAGGCAGCUCACUGGACUGCAACUGACACUGAGGCUCGAAAGUGUGGGUAUCAAACAGGAUUAGCUACCCCUGUAGUC
rnacentral:rRNA from 1 species